rnacentral:rRNA from 1 species
UCUCCUACGGGAGGCAGCAGUGGGGAAUAUUGCACAAUGGGGGAAACCCUGAUGCAGCCAUGCCGCGUGUGUGAAGAAGGCUUUCGGGUUGUAAAGCACUUUCAGCGAGGAGGAAAGGGUAUUGCUUAAUACGUAAUAUCUGUGACGUUACUCGCAGAAGAAGCACCGGCUAACUCCGUGCCAGCAGCCGCGGUAAUACGGAGGGUGCAAGCGUUAAUCGGAAUUACUGGGCGUAAAGCGCGCGUAGGUGGUUAAUUAAGUCAGAUGUGAAAGCCCAGGGCUCAACCUUGGAACUGCAUUUGAAACUGGUUAACUAGAGUUUUGUAGAGGGUGGUAGAAUUUCAGGUGUAGCGGUGAAAUGCGUAGAGAUCUGAAGGAAUACCAGUGGCGAAGGCGGCCACCUGGACAGNAACUGACACUGAGGCGCGAAGGCGUGGGGAGCAAACGGGAUUAGAUACCCCGGUAGUCCACGCAGUAAACGAUGUCUAUUAGAAGUUUGUGGCUAUAUGCCGUGGGUUCAAAGCUAACGCAUAAAUAGACCGCCCUGGG